AGUGAACGCUGGCGGUAGGCCUAACACAUGCAAGUCGAACGGCAGCACAGUAAGAGCUUGCUCUUACGGGUGGCGAGUGGCGGACGGGUGAGGAAUACAUCGGAAUCUACUUUUUCGUGGGGGAUAACGUAGGGAAACUUACGCUAAUACCGCAUACGACCUACGGGUGAAAGCAGGGGAUCUUCGGACCUUGCGCAAUUGAAUGAGCCGAUGUCGGAUUAGCUAGUUGGCGGGGUAAAGGCCCACCAAGGCGACGAUCCGUAGCUGGUCUGAGAGGAUGAUCAGCCACACUGGAACUGAGACACGGUCCAGACUCCUACGGGAGGCAGCAGUGGGGAAUAUUGGACAAUGGGCGCAAGCCUGAUCCAGCCAUACCGCGUGGGUGAAGAAGGCCUUCGGGUUGUAAAGCCCUUCUGUUGGGAAAGAAAAGCAGCAGGUUAAUACCCCGCUGUUCUGACGGUACCCAAAGAAUAAGCACCGGCUAACUUCGUG
rnacentral:rRNA from 1 species